AUUGUAAAACACUAGAAUAUGAUUCUUCAUAUAGCACAAGACUUGUUUUUGGGAGAAAAUGUUCAGUACUUUUUAUACAGAUUCAAUUAUCCCUAUAAAUCUAUUAAACUCAAGGACCGUUUGACCUAGAGACAUGAAACCAACUGCAAAACACUCUGAAUACUAUUCUUGAUCAAGACUUGAAUUUGUGAGUAAAUAUUCAGUACUUUUUAUACAGAUAUUUGUAUCCCUUUAAAUCUAUUCAGCUCAAUGACCGUUUGACCUAGAGACACAAAACCAACUGUGACUGUUUUAGUAAGCAACUUAUUCUCCCCUGUUCCCCUUUUCCCAACCUACAAAGUAAACAUUGGCGUUAAUGGGAGGGAGUACAUCGUCUAGUCAUGCUGACGGGAGUUUAGCGCCAUGUUCCUUUGAGGAGUUUGGCUGAGCUGGUGAACGACGAGCAAGUCAAGCUACAUUACUAACUCCAUCAAGCAUCUCCUUACGUCCUCCAUUUCCUUUCCCAAAUCUUGUUCUCUGAUGAGGUUUGAAACCUUGUAUUCCCUCUCACCUUCUUGUUUGGGUUUUCGUUCAAACUGUAUCUUUCCUUUCGGCUGGUGAACGCUUUGCUGUUUUGGCCUGGCAUGACCCUGGGGGUGUGUCUGGUUACCACCCCCCUAGUUCUGUUGUCCACCCUGCUGGAGGUGUGAUUGCUGCCUCUGGGGUCCUGUUCUAGCAUUCACAUUAACAUGAGGCAUUCCGUUGAUUUCAAGUGCUAGGUCUACAUAUUCUGAGGCUUGGAUACCCAGGACUUGGGCAUCGCCUUCGUGCCCUCGAGCAGGGUGCACGUGUGUCUCCCAUGCCAGUUAUGCGUACCUUCUGAUUUCCUGCAUGGUGGGGUUGCCCGUUCUGCAGUGCAUCGUGACAUCAUAUCGCACGCUCUCAUGGAGUUUGUGAAGGAAUAGAGACUUGAAAGCCUGUUCUUCCUCCAGACCUGGUGCGUUACGUCAUUGGAAGUACGUGGUCCUCAGGCAUCUGUAAUACUCAUGCAGAGGCUCAUGCCUCUUCUGCGUGAUGGCGAAAGCACUUAGGGUAGCAAAGGCUGCGUCAGCUCGGGUCCUAACGUGUGUCCUUGGGUUUCUCAGGGGCACAUUUCUACGUGUUGUGCUAAAGAGGGGGCCCUCUUUAAUGUCAGAUGUUGUGCUGCACAUUUCAGCUGCAAUUACCUGAUCUGGCUCUACUCUUAGCUGGGCAGCUUGAAGCUACCUGUGCAGGGUUUCGUUUUCCUCCUGCAUCUGAGCAUUAUCUUCCUGUGCCCGGACUCUCUCAGCUUGGGUGCACCUAACUUCUUGGCGCAGGCUGAGAUUUUCCCUCUGCACAGCUUGGUAGCUGUUCUGCAGCUGGCCAAGCUGGGCCUGGUGCUCUGCGGUUUGCAGUUGGGUUCUGCCAUGAUGAAGAAGGAACACUUGGCCUAUAGUUCAUCACAAUGACUAAUAUUGUAGCUGUUAAGGUUAUAUCUCUUUUAUACAGAGAGACGGAGGACAGCAGUGACCACAUCUUGCAGUGUUGGAUCGUCUGACCUCUGAGGAGCUUCAGCUCCCAACAUGUGGGCUGAUUGGUGACAAAUGCUUGCAAUACAGUGGCUCUGAUAGUAUGGUAUAUUUUCAAUAUUCAAAUAAAAUUAUUAACAAGCAUUAUAUAAACUAGAGAUUUUUACACGUGACAUAACCAAUUGUAAUGAGAAAAGAACAUGUAUGGAACAUGCUCAGCCAACAUAUAGAGCAAACACAGACACUCAUGAUGUGCAGUAUGGUCAUUAAGCAAGAAGCUCAUUAUGGUUAAUGACAAGAAGGUUAAUUGUGUUAUUAUUACAUUAUUUUGUUUGUUUGAAAUGUACACUUUCUAAAAAUAAAAGUUAGGUUGCUAGGUUUCCACAAUUUGAAAGUCAGAUGGUCUAGGAAAUAAUGGUGGCAAGCUGAAAUUAUGUAAGAUGCAAGUCCAUUGGUUGGAGAUAAUCAGGUUGAGUGGUUUAUGGACUUAGAAGUGUGAAACCGUGAAGGCAGAAUUGACAACUAGCCUUCUCAGGUUUAUUGGUUGCUCAAUAAAAAUUUACCUUUGACAUCAGGAACCCCUGACUCCGGAAUCAAUGCCAGGAGGGUGGAGGAACAACGAACAGUGACUGCUGGCACGGAUUGCACAAAAAUCACCAAAACUGAGGGCAGAGGGCGGGUCCACCUGGAGUGGUAAGGGCCGCUGCCAGGGGCGGAGGAGUCCCCUACCGGCCGCUGAAAUGCGGCGGGGUCUGAGACCGCCAACCGCGAGUGGGGAGGGGCUCGCUGCCAACCGCCUGGAGCGGGAGAACCACUGCCAGGGGCAGGGGAGACACCCCUUCUGUUCCCCGAGAACGCGGCGGGGCGUUCCGUCCGCCAGGGGCUGCAGGACUGCCUCCGAUCUGCCUGGAGAGGUGUGGCUGUCGACCGUUAGAGGGUGGAGGAGUGGCCGAGGAACAAGCUAUAGCGUAUCGGAGAACUGGCGAGUAGAUGGGGAUGACCUGCCGGCAGACGGAGCGACAGGCACGCCCCUCCCCAGGGAAAGGGGGGGGGGUGUACGUCAUGCCUGGGGCUCCCCAGCCUGAGAGAACGAGGGAGGAAUGUGGCAGUGCGGAGGGCGGGGCCGGGUCAUGAUUCUACACACCCGGUCACCUUAUCAGGCAAAUCAAGCCUCCGAGAGGGACAAAGGCUGACUGCAGAGGAUGGUGCGAGAGAGCGAGAUUGUUUACUGACAUGUCCGUCCUGUGUGUGUGUGUGUGUGUGUGUGUG